UUGUGAUGUUUUGUUUUGCUGUAUAGACAGCACUUUAAACUAUAAAAUGUUCUCAAACUGGUAAACAUACAGUACAUACAGUGGAUUUUUAAGUCAUUGAGCUGCAUUGAUUUACAUAACAUUUAUUUAGAUUACUGGAGAUCACAAGAACAUCCAUUUAUGAGUUUGUAACAGCCCCUCGAAGUCUAUAGCAUCUGUGACACCUGCCAGAGACAUCACUGCAUUGUGAUUGGCUGUUGAAAACAGUGGCUGGGAGCUUCAGUUGUCUGUACAGAGGCUGUUAUGAUAGUUCUGCAAAAGCUCAGUGAGGAAAACAUCAUUUUAAACAAUGGGCUUCUGUUUGCUACUAGUUUUAAUGGCAUUCAUUGGUGGCAGUAUACAAGACAGCAUUACCCCAACAUCUCCUGCAAUCCAUGCAAUGGUCAAUGAAAAAGUUACGAUCUCUUGUAAAUACCAGUACACUCUGUCAAUGAAUAAUCUUCAGUGGUAUCGACGUUAUCUCAACUCUGCGCCAGAAUUCCUGGUUCUAAUUAUGGAGUCGGGACAAAAUCAAACGGCUACACCUCCUCACCCUCGGCUGACAGCUUCAGUCAAUAAAGAAAACAAGACUGUGAAUCUGGAAAUCUUUCCUGCAGAUGUGAAGGAUUCUGCAGCGUAUCACUGCGCACUGCAGCCCACAGUGGGAGGAAAUGCAUGUACACCAUACAAAAACCUUCUCAGAGCUAAACGGAGAAGAAAAUGAUUUAAAUCAACCUAUGAGACCAAAGAGUCUGCACACAUGCCACAAGGAGGCAGCACUUUUUUACCCCACUCAACAACAUCAGAAGCAUGCACAUAUGUUGACAUGUGACAAUUAGUACUAGACUGCUCAGAAAAAUAGCAACACCUUAUGUUAAAGGAGUGUGAACAGAGGCAUAGCUGAUCAGUAAAUUCAGGAUG